GUAACACAGGAGAUCAAAGGGCAGAUAGAGAUGGGAAACAUCAGGCAAUAAUUAAGCAUCACUCUGAGAGCCUGGCUGGCUCCCCUCCUUUCCCCUCCCCACGCCAGCCCCUGCUUAUUCCGAAGCCCCUUCUUUCAUCUUUUCCUCAGGCUUCUCCACUCUCCCCAUCUCUACUCAUCCCCUCUCCUCCUUCCCACCUUUUCACCUCUUGGUUCACUGGCCUUUCACAUUUCAUCCCCUCCUGCAACAACCACAAUUACCCACCUAGCUCCUGCUGUCUCCCCCAAUCAAAGACUUCCACAUCCUCCCGGAAACUCCCUCCCCUCCACCUCUCUCUCCCUUCCUCUCUUCCUCCCUCCCUUUGCUUUCUGCCAUCUUCCCCUUUCACCUCCUUUCCCCCCUUUCUGCUCCUCCCUCUCUCUCUCAUUCCCUAGUCUUUUGCACCCUUUCUCUCUGCCUGCUAGUGGAGUCACCAUGACAACGGCCUCCAUGACAAUUACAGCCCAGGCAGCAGUGCCUCUUCCCAUGAGGCACUCCAAUACUCACUUGGAAUUUGCUCCCUGAUUUCAUGGCCCAGGCAGUGAAUUUGCCUCACUCCCCAAGUUUCCACAAGGCCACAGGGAAUAGACUUGGUAGCCAACCACAGCCCCGAAGAUGGGAGAAAGCAAAGAAGGAAGAAUGAAGCAUGGGAGAGAAUGAAAGAGGAGAGGGGGAACUGAAGCUCUCAUCUUCCUCUUCUCUGAUGGAACACAAAGGACUCCAGCAAAAACAUCUGCUAAGCACCUAAUAUAUACCAAGCUUCAAUCCUGGCUUUGGAUACACAUGGAUGGUUAAUGACUUUGGGAUCUCUUAAUUUAGGAGAACUAUUAUCUGGACUUCAUGAACAAAAUCACAGUACUUAAAAGUCACGAAUUAAUUAUCUUCAUCUCUGAUGCCCAGAUGGACAUUACAACUCUGAGUUAUGGGUGUGUCAUUAGAAGUGAUUCUUGGAGCAGCCUGAUCCCCAAAUUACAGAAGCAAGAUGAAACUUGGACUCAUAGAACCAGGUGAUCUCCCAGCCACAUCUAUCUCUAGCAAAACAAGAACCUUAAAUAAAAACCAGGCUGAACUGUGGUAUCUUCUGCAUCUAUCUCCUCAUCCUGUGGUCUCUAUUUUACUGAAGAGGAAGAAAUAGCAAGAGGUGUGCCUUCACCCCAGCUAGAACCUCAGGGCCAUGUGGCCAUGAAAGCCAACAGUUUCACUGCUGGAGAGACAGCAUGCCAACAGACAAACUCACAGGAGAGCACGGGGUUGAAAGUCAAGAAGAGGAAGUCGACAGGU
rnacentral:lncRNA from 1 species